CCUACGGGAGGCAGCAGUGGGGGAUAUUGCACAAUGGGGGGAACCCUGAUGCAGCGACGCCGCGUGGGUGAAGAAGCGCCUCGGCGCGUAAAGCCCUGUCAGCAGGGAAGAAAAUGACGGUACCUGAAGAAGAAGCCCCGGCUAACUACGUGCCAGCAGCCGCGGUAAUACGUAUGGUGCAAGCGUUAUCCGGAUUUACUGGGUGUAAAGGGAGCGCAGGCGGCACGGCAAGCCUGAUGUGAAAGCCCGCGGCCCAACCGCGGGACUGCAUUUGAAACUGUUUCCCUUGAGUGUCGGAGAGGUAAUCGGAAUUCCUUGUGUAGCGGUGAAAUGCGUAGAUAUAAGGAAGAACACCAGUGGCGAAGGCGGAUUACUGGACGAUAACUGACGGUGAGGCGCGAAAGCGUGGGGAGCAAACAGGAUUAGAUACCCGAGUAGUC
rnacentral:rRNA from 1 species